GCCUUCGUGGUGUAGUGGUCUGAGCAUGCUCGACGCGUAACCGAGAGGUCCGUGGUUCGAUUCCCGGCGAAGACG
rnacentral:tRNA from 1 species